GACGAACGCUGGCGGCGUGCUUAACACAUGCCAGUCGAACGGAAAGGCCCUGCUGUUGUGGGUUGCUCGAGUGGCGAACGGGUGAGUAACGCGUGAGUAACCUGCCCUUGACUUUGGGAUAACGUCAGGAAACUGUGGCUACUACCGGAUAGGAUCUCCUGCUGCAUGGUGGGGGUUGGAAUGUUUCGGCGGUUGGGGAUGGACUCGCGGCUUAUAGGCUUGUUGGUGGGGUAGUGGCUUACCAAGGCUUUGGGGGUUAGCCGGCCUGAGAGGCUGACCGGCAAAAUGGGGACGGAGAACGGCCCCGGCCUCCUCGGGGAGGAGGAAGUGGGGAAUAUGGAACAAUGGGCGGAGGCUUGAUGCAGCAAGGCGCCGGGGGGGAGAACGGCUUCCGGGUGGUAAACGGCUUUCGCAGGUGACGAAGCGUGGGUGACGGUACUGGGUAAAGAAGCACCGGCUAACUACGUG
rnacentral:rRNA from 1 species